AAACCCUCCUUUACCGUUCUUUAUUUGGCUAAGCGAAGUGUUGUUGUGGUGACUUACCACAAUAGUAACACUUCUCUGUUUGACGGGGACAUUCCUUUCUGUAGACGUGCACAGAGAAUCACCCUGAAAUGAAACAACUUCACCCUGAUGACUGUCAUGUCAGAGGAGAUGAGCCCGUAGAGUGUUUCCGCAAUCCAUUUUGAUGGCACAAUUUUUUGUGAAGGUAUGCAUGUGCAGGCUUGUAUAGCAUGUUGACUAUCAGCUUAUAGACUGCAAAGAUAAUAUUUUUCGAAAUGUUUUGAAUGGUAAAACACUUUGGUUUAUGAUACAAGAAGUUUGUGGGCAAUACGGUGUUGUGAGAGGCGGCUAGGGUGACUUAUUGGCUAAUAGCGUCUUGCUAAGCAGGAAAAUGAGUCACACGAUACUUCUAAUCCAACCCGCACCAAAGCCGGAAACGAGAACAUAUUCCGAUUUUGAAUCGGUCAAUGAAUGCAUGGAAGAUCCAAAUUUGGUGGCAUUCAAAUCAGCAGAAGCAACCACUCAUGUACACUUGUGCCUUCAGCUUGUGGUUGAGAAAGAAUGGCUUUCUGGAAUGCAGAAGCACCAGUUUAAGGAGUUUAUUGCACUAUCAAGAAUAAAAGAAGAAAUGUCCAUGUACAAAUGAAAGGAAAGUAUACUGGAUCAACACUGAAUCAAACUUUUAAGCUCAUUUGUGGAAGAGGAAUUUCCUGAUUUAAGAUCUUUGGUAAGAUUUAUUUCCUUAAUUUCUCAUGGGAAUGCGUAAUUGGAUUGGGGGUUUUCUGUGAAUUCAGAAUGUGUCAUAGAACAUCGAAAAGAAAAUAUGCUGAUUGCUCAGUGGCAGGUUUUUGAUGGUUAUUAUUUCUGCUGGAGAGAUAGUAAAUUUGAAAUAACAACACAAUUCGUAUGUACAGUGAAAAAUGGUCAUUCUCAUUAUGUGGAGUCACUGGAAAUGGAGAAAAAAGAAAACAAGAAAACAAAAGGAAAAGGCAGAGUGGCAGAGAGACACUGAAGAAAUUAAAAUUCUUACAAUGAAAAAGUUAAAAUUAUUAACAGAUGCUGAAAAGGAAGAGGAACUUAAUGAAGAAAAAAUUCAAGAACUUGUAAAGAAGUCUCACAAAAAACUUUCUUCCUUAUAGUUAUGUAUGUUUGAGGCAUCAACAGAAUUUUUAGGAAUUUCAAAAUAAUGUUAAAGUUUUUCUUACAAUUUGCAUGUGGAGAAGAUUAUCUACUUGCAAUACAGUUACAUGUGUGUUAAUGUGACUAGUAUAUUGUUCUAUUCAAUACUGAUUGUGUAACAGUAAAAUAUAAGGAAAUACACUCUCCACAUCAUCAAACGGGAGAUUCAGUUUAUUAAAUACCAUCUCACAAGAAGUCUUCCAAAAGUGUGUGAAUUUUGGAUUUGCAUUAAAUUGUAAGUAUUUUGCCAGUAUUUUUAUUUAAG